AUGCUGCUAAACCUCAAAACCAGAAUCAGAAUCAGAGUCAGACCUCGUCAGCCUCGCCUCCUGUCGGAAAGAGCAAAGGCAGAAGGAGAGGGAGAGGUGGCCGGAAAUCUGAUCAAGCUGAUGCCUUUAUGAGACCAAGCUCAAGAACUUGCACUGUAGCUCACAAGCCUGUCAAUGGACAAGGAAAUGGUGGGUCCCUUCCAAAUGGGUCACUUGAAAAUGG
rnacentral:lncRNA from 1 species